rnacentral:rRNA from 1 species
AAAUUGAAGAGUUUGAUCAUGGCUCAGAUUGAACGCUGGCGGCAGGCCUAACACAUGCAAGUCGAACGGUAACAGGAAACAGCUUGCUGUUUCGCUGACGAGUGGCGGACGGGUGAGUAAUGUCUGGGAAACUGCCCGAUGGAGGGGGAUAACUACUGGAAACGGUAGCUAAUACCGCAUAACGUCGCAAGACCAAAGAGGGGGACCUUCGGGCCUCUUGCUAUCGGAUGUGCCCAGAUGGGAUUAGCUAGUAGGUGGGGUAACGGCUCACCUAGGCGACGAUCCCUAGCUGGUCUGAGAGGAUGACCAGCCACACUGGAACUGAGACACGGUCCAGACUCCUACGGGAGGCAGCAGUGGGGAAUAUUGCACAAUGGGCGCAAGCCUGAUGCAGCCAUGCCGCGUGUAUGAAGAAGGCCUUCGGGUUGUAAAGUACUUUCAGCGGGGAGGAAGGGAGUAAAGUUAAUACCUUUACUCAUUGACG